AGCAGAGUGGAUAAACUGAUUCUGUAAAAGUACACUUUUAAGAUAUUUACAUUCCAGUAAACAAAUUACUGGGCCUCAUGUCACCUUAACAAAACAGGAAUUUGUGUGACAGUCAGGGAGGUAGCACUGUACAUAAACAAAACACAUAUUUGGUUAACAAACAUGUGUCCUUGUCAACAGCAAGCAAGACCAAAAACAUCUACCUAUACACAGUCUGGCAUUUGUCCAUUAAGUAUAACUUUCUACUGGUCAUUUGCUUCAGUCUUUGAGGGGUAAUUAUGUAACAUAUGAGCUCACUACGUUUAACAUACUGUAUUGUAGCUCACAAUGACAGGUCCAAUCUCUCCAGCCAUAUCUGGUACACUUGGUCAUGCAGGGUUGGAGACUGUAACACAGACUGAGAAAGUAACUGGAAUUUCCAGAUGAACAAAAAGGAGAGCAGUCGUUGAUAAUAUCAAUCAGAUCGAUCCAGUUUAAUACAAUCAUUCAGGGAGACACCUCCAGAACAGAAGCAUAGAAAAUGUCCAACGGGGCUCUUGGAGACAGAACCUUCCUAUUCUAAUCAGACAGUACCAAAUGUUCUCUAAAAUAUCAGACAGAGAGGCUUGGAGUCAAUACAAAGACAGUGACUUUGCCACUAUAAAGGUCAAUCAUAGGUCUAUGCACUAUAAAGGUCAAUCAUACAUCUAUGCACUAUAAA